GAUGAACGCUAGCGGCAGGCUUAACACAUGCAAGUCGAGGGGUAGAAAUAGCUUGCUAUUUUGAGACCGGCGCACGGGUGCGUAACGCGUAUGCAAUCUGCCUUGUACUGGGGAAUAGCCCGGAGAAAUCCGGAUUAAUGCCCCAUGGUAUUUUUGUGUGGCAUCACACGAUUAUUAAAGAUUUAUCGGUACAAGAUGAGCAUGCGUCCCAUUAGUUAGUUGGUGUGGUAACGGCAAACCAAGAGGAUGAUGGGUAGGGGUCCUGAGAGGGAGAUCCUCCACACUGGUACUGAGACACGGACCAGACUGCUACGGGAGGCAGCAGUGAGGAAUAUUGGUCAAUGGGCGCAAGCCUGAACCAGCCAUGCCGCGUGCGGGAUGACGGCCCUAUGGGUUGUAAACUGCUUUUAUACGGGAAGAAACACCUCUUCGUGAAGAGGCUUGACGGUACCGUAAGAAUAAGGAUCGGCUAACUCCGUGCCAGCCGCCGCCGUAAGAC
rnacentral:rRNA from 1 species